ACGUAGGGUGCGAGCGUUAAUCGGAAUUACUGGGCGUAAAGCGCGCGCAGGCGGUUUGCCAAGACAGGUGUGAAAUCCCCGGGCUUAACCUGGGAAUGGCGCUUGUGACUGGCAGGCUGGAGUGUGGCAGAGGGGGGUAGAAUUCCAGGUGUAGCAGUGAAAUGCGUAGAGAUGUGGAGGAACACCGAUGGCGAAGGCAGCCCCCUGGACCGAUACUGACGCUCAUGCACGAAAGCGUGGGGAGCAAACAG
rnacentral:rRNA from 1 species